rnacentral:tRNA from 1 species
ACCUGAGUGGCACAGUUGGUUAAGCGUCUGAUUUUGGUUCAGGUCAUGAUCUGUGGUUCGUGAGUUCAAGCCCCACAUCAGGUG